CCUAAUCCAACCAUGCAGUAUUAUGCAACUAGCACAGAACCAAUUAAGUCCGAGAAUGCAACAAACACAUUAGAGUAGUUGCAUUACAUAUCACCUCCCCCAGACUCAGCUGUGCUCAACAUUUUCAGCACUGGGCGUCACACUGGAUUGCUCAUGUAUUUUACGACGCAGUUCCGCAAGAAAAUCCAUCUGGUGAGGGAGUUUGAAGUGACCCCAUGAUGACCCACUAGCUGAAGUAUACAGGAUUGGUCUCUCAGAUAACUCCACUGACGAACCAUUAUACGAGCGCAUUGCAGAUACCCAACGGUCAGUCAUAACUUCUCUUGCCACACUGAAAGUGCAUCCAUUCAAAUGAAUCAAUCCUAGAUGAGCAUACUCUUUCUGAAUAUUACUACAGCCAGCAUCCCCGUGAUCUCCUCCGGAUUUGCGUCGGUUGUGCGCGCGGUUCCUGGGGGGAGUGUAGCGCUUGAUUGCGUCGGGAUUACCGCCAUCCUGCAUCUCGGCUGAGAGGGAGGGGAGAGGGGUCGUCUU
rnacentral:misc_RNA from 1 species